GACGAACGCUGGCGGCAUGCUUAACACAUGCAAGUCGAACGGCAAGACCCUGCUUUUUUGCUGUUCUCGGGUGGCGAUCGGGUAAGUAUCACGUGAGUAACCUGCUCUUCACUUUCGUGUAACUUCACGUAACUAAAGCUACUCUCGUAUCGGAGCUCCCGCUCCGUUGAUGGCGUUGGAACUUUUCGGCGGGUGGGGAUGGACUGGCGGCUUAUCAGUUUGCUGGUUGGGUAGUUGCUUACCCAGGCAUUGACGGGUCGCCGGCAUGGGAGGGUGACCGGCGACAUUGGGACUGAGAGACGGAGCAGACGGGUACGGGAGGCAGCAGUGGGGAAUAUUACACAAUGGGCGGAAGCCUGAUGAAGAAACGCCGCGUGCGGGAUGACGGCCUGCGGGUUGAGAAACGCUGUCGCCUGUGACGAAGCGUGAGUGACGGUAAUGAGUAAAGAAGCACCGGCUAACUACGUG
rnacentral:rRNA from 1 species